GAUGGACGCUGGCGGCGUGCCUAAUACAUGCAAGUCGAGCGAACGGACGAUAAGCUUGUUUCUCUGAUGUUAGCGGCGGACGGGUGAGUAACACGUGGAUAACCUACCUAUAUUUCUGGGAUAACUUCGGGAAACCGGAGCUAAUACCGGAUGAUAUUUUGAACCGCAGGGUUCAAAAGUGAAAGACGGUUUUGCUGUCACUAAUAGAUGGUUCCGCGCUGCAUUAGCUAGUUGGUAAGGUAACGGCUUACCAAGGCAACGAUGCGUAGCCGACCUGAGAGGGUGAUCGGCCACACUGGAACUGAGACACGGUCCAGACUCCUACGGGAGGCAGCAGUAGGGAAUCUUCCGCAAUGGGCGAAAGCCUGACGGAGCAACGCCGCGUGAGUGAUGAAGGUCUUCGGAUCGUAAAGCUCUGUUAUUAGGGAAGAACAGAUGUGUAAGUAACUGUGCCCAUCUUGACGGUACCUAAUCAGAAAGCCACGGCUAACUACGUG
rnacentral:rRNA from 1 species